ACUACGGGAGGCAGCAGUGAGGAAUAUUGGUCAAUGGGCGCGAGCCUGAACCAGCCAAGUCGCGUGAGGGAUGACGGUCCUACGGAUUGUAAACCUCUUUUGCCGGGGAGCAAGCGUGCGUUCGUGAACGCGCGUCGAGCGUACCCGGCGACAAAGCAUCGGCUAACUCCGUGCCGGCAGCCGCGGUACUACGGAGGAUGCGAUCGUUAUCCGGUGUUAUUGGGUUUAAAGGGUACGUAGGCGGGAUGCCAAGGCAGCGGUAAAAAUGCGGUGGUCAACGCCGUCGAGCCGUUGAAACUGGCGUUCUUGAGUGGGCGAGAAGUAUGCGGAAUGCGUGGUGUAGCGGUGAAAUGCAUAGAUAUCACGCAGAACUCCGAUUGCGAAGGCAGCAUACCGGCGCCCUACUGACGCUGAGGCACGAAAGCGUGGGUAUCGAACAGGAUUAGAUACCCGGGUAGUC
rnacentral:rRNA from 1 species